AUGCCUUUGCGUCCUCAUAAGCUUAGCUCCCACAUAUCAGUGAGAACACACGAUAUUUGGUUUUCCAUUCCUGACUUAUGUCACUUAGAAUAAUAGUCUCCACUUCCAUCCA